CCCGGCUGCUUCCCGUCCCUUGGUCCGGGCGGGCGGUUUUCCCGCCGCCCUCUCGACACUUUGCACCGAGGCGUCGGAUCUGCUGGCUCAGAGGGCAGGGGUUUCCUACGUCCCCCUUCCCCACCAGCGCCUAGAGACGAGGCGGAACUCAAAGGGCUGCUCCCUCACCCCCUUCCUGGCCAAGACGUUUCAUCCGCAAUUGGCUCAAUCCUUCGAUCUCCGACCCGCUGCAAACGAACGAAAGUCUGUGGCCUGGAUCGGCCCACCACUGCUCCCGAGGGAGGGGGGAGGAAAGAGAAGUCACCUCUUGUUUUAGGGGGUCUGUGUCUACGGUCCCUGAUGCGGAGCUCGGGAGAACAACUUCGAGUUAGUGUUUACGGAACUUCUCACAGCCUAGAUUCUUUUUUUGAAGGGAGAGAUUCAAAAUCUAUAGGCUGUUCCCUGCUCGCCUCCCCCAUCGGGCACAUGGACGGGUCCCACCUGCAGGUGCGCAUGCGCUGAGGCGUAUUCUCGCGCUGGGUUACGGAGACGACAGGCCGCCUCCUGGCCCCUCCUCCCCUCGGUUCUGUCUGCUGAACCAGGUAGUCUUUCCACCGGUUUCUGAAGCUUCGGGGAGGAUUUCAAAACGGUACCAAAUCAGUGCCUACGGACACGCCUCCGUUCUGGGCAGAUAUUUUAUCUAAUAAAUACUUAUUACAAUGAUUGGUUAUAUUCAACCGGUUGGUGCCACUAUUGGCUUAAGUAAGCCUGUAUUUUAAAUUACAUAUUUAGACUUAAGUAAAAAUACCUUGUGAUGCAUGAUACAUUCUAGUAAUCCAACAUCGGAAGGGCAACAACGGAAGUACUGCCUGCUCGCCUCAAUCUUUAGAUCAUCCUGGUCGACAUAGCAAGUUCCGAGCCAAUCAAGGCUAUUUACUAAAAACCUGUUUGAAAAAAAAUUUUUUUAAUUGUAUGGAUCGGACAGAGUAUGGGGGCAUGCCUUUUAUUCCAGCACUAGGGUGUCAGAGGCAGGUCGAUUGCAGUGUGUUAGAGCUACACACUGGUUUGGUCUACACGAGGAGUUCCAGGACAGCCUGGGCUUCGUUAUAGACCCUCUUUCC
rnacentral:lncRNA from 1 species